rnacentral:rRNA from 1 species
GGGAAGAAAAGGCUGUUGCUAAUAUCGACAGCUGAUGACGGUACCUGAAGAAUAAGCACCGGCUAACUACGUGCCAGCAGCCGCGGUAAUACGUAGGGUGCGAGCGUUAAUCGGAAUUACUGGGCGUAAAGCGAGCGCAGACGGUUACUUAAGCAGGAUGUGAAAUCCCCGGGCUCAACCUGGGAACUGCGUUCUGAACUGGGUGACUAGAGUGUGUCAGAGGGAGGUAGAAUUCCACGUGUAGCAGUGAAAUGCGUAGAGAUGUGGAGGAAUACCGAUGGCGAAGGCAGCCUCCUGGGAUAACACUGACGUUCAUGCUCGAAAGCGUGGGUAGC